rnacentral:rRNA from 1 species
GACGAACGCUGGCGGCGUGCUUAACACAUGCAAGUCGAACGGAAAGGCCCUGCUUUUGUGGGGUGCUCGAGUGGCGAACGGGUGAGUAACACGUGAGUAACCUGCCCUUGACUUUGGGAUAACUUCAGGAAACUGGGGCUAAUAUCGGAUAGGAGCUCCUGCUGCAUGGUGGGGGUUGGAAAGUUUCGGCGGUUGGGGAUGGACUCGCGGCUUAUCAGCUUGUUGGUGGGGUAGUGGCUUACCAAGGCUUUGACGGGUAGCCGGCCUGGGAGGGUGACCGGCCACAAUGGGACUAAGAUACGGCCCAGACUCCUACGGGAGACAGCAGUGGGGAAUAUUGCACAAUGAGCGGAAGCCUGAUGCAGCAACGCCGCGUGCGGGAUGACGGCCUUCGGGUUGUAAAACGCUUUCGCCUGUGACGAAGCGUGAGUGACGGUAAUGAGUAAAGAAGCACCGGCUAACUACGUG